GAUGAACGCUGGCGGCGUGCCUAACACAUGCGAGUCGAACGGAACUAUUUUGGAAACUCCUUCGGGAGCGGAAUCUUUAGUUUAGUGGCGGACGGGUGAGUAACGCGUGAGCAAUCUGCCUUUAAGAGGGGGAUAACAGUCAGAAACGGCUGCUAAUACCGCAUAAGGCAUCAAAUUCGCAUGUUUUUGAUGCCAAAGGAGCAAUCCGCCUUUAGAUGAGCUCGCGUCUGAUUAGCUAGUUGGCGGGGUAACGGCCCACCAAGGCGACGACCAGUAGCCGGACUGAGAGGUUGAACGGCCACAUUGGGACGGGGACACGGCCCAGACUCCUACGGGAGACAGCAGUGGGGAAUAUUGCGCAAUGGGGGAAACCCUGACGCAGCAACGCCGCGUGAUUGAAGAAGGCCUUCGGGUUGUAAAGAUCUUUAAUCAGGGACGAAUCAAUAACGGUACCUGAAGAAUAAGCUCCGGCUAACUACGUGCCAGCCGCCGCGGUAA
rnacentral:rRNA from 1 species